UACGUAGGGUGCGAGCGUUGUCCGGAAUUAUUGGGCGUAAAGGGCUCGUAGGCGGUCUGUUGCGUCGGGAGUGAAAACUCAGGGCUUAACCCUGAGCCUGCUUCCGAUACGGGCAGACUAGAGGUAUGCAGGGGAGAACGGAAUUCCUGGUGUAGCGGUGAAAUUCGCAGAUAUCAGGAGGAACACCGGUGGCGAAGGCGGUUCUCUGGGCAUUACCUGACGCUGCAGCGCGAAAGCUAGGGGAGCAAACGGG
rnacentral:rRNA from 1 species